ACUGCACGUGCGUAGCAAGAUGAUAUCUGGCAAUAUGAACCCGAGGAGUUUAUUUCACUGCCUAAAAUUUCCUCUUUCCCUUCCUCUCUUCAAGCAAAUAACUGACUCUGUACUUCUUUUGUGGGGGAAGUACUGUACGGAGUAGGAAAACAGAAGUAGCCUACAGAUCCUCCUGGCUUUAGAGUUCUCUGACUCUAAGCCUUGAGAAGGGUACAGGUUUUCAGGAAAGAGAAAGGAGAGGGCUUUGUGAGCUCGUAAUGAUGGUGUCUUAGGGAAGUAGUGGGGAGGGUGUAACGAACACUUCUCAACAGGUUCUCGAAUAGUCCUUCUGCUAUAGCACCUCCUUCUCCCUCCUGAUUUCUCUGGUACCGGAGCCUUUCUGGGAUUCUGCAGGGAAAUGAACUUGCCUUCUGUCAGUCCACAACCCUGUCCCCUCACCCUUACCCCUUUGGGGUCAGGUUUGACCUCCAUCCCUUCUGGACUGCUGUGGUUGUCUCCUUCCCUGGUUCUGACACAAGAGCUGAGAAAAAAGGGGUGUGUACAUGCGAUUGCCAUCUUCUCCAGGCAUCCUGUUCCAAUGGAUACAAGACUCAGGAUGCAGGGAUAAAAAUCAGGCGACUGCUUCCAAUCCCACAACAAAUGUCACCCAUCUCUUCCAACAAAAAACUUAACUCAAAAUGACACUUGCUUGUCAAAUCUGAAUUAGGCAUUUUCACUCUAACUGGAGUGAGUAUAUCAAUCCCCUGGGGGAAAACUGGAGCUCUGGAGAGGAUUCAGAUUCAGCAAACAGUUUUUGCUUGUCUGCUGUGUCUCAGGUAGGCACUGUAUUGUGUGUGUGUGUGUGUGUGUGUGUGUGUGUGUUUAAUUUCUAUUCCCACUUGCAUAGUACAGAUGAGGAAAGCAGGGACUUGCCCCCUCAACAGCCAGCUAGUGGAAAGGUCAGGUUUCUAACCUAGGUUUUACAGCCCCAGGUCCAGGUCCACUGUUCCUUGCAUUUAGACUAUAGAUGCCACUCCAGGCGCAAGCCCAGGCCACCUCUUCCCAGGAUAUUACAGACCACAUCGGGUUUUCUCCUCUCUGAACACCAGCAGUGUGGCCACAUGUUCACUUCACCUGCAGAAGCUGCCAGGCUCGAGAGUUGUGUCUUGUUCUUUCCACCCACUGAUAGGAUGCUGGGCGUGUAGGAAAGCAACCGUUUACUGGGAGCACUGAACAGUCUCAAAGCCUUCUCAUACAUACUGUCCCCAUAGCUCUGUAACACGAGAUAGAUGAGCUUUUUUUGCCCUGGUGGGGGAGAGGAGAGUAGUGGGAGGGAGGGAGGAAGCCGAAGGAAAUUAAUGAGUGACUUAGGAUUCAUCCCUAAAGGACCAAAGCAUGGAGGAGCCUGAUUUAUGAGAGUUAGACAAGGUUGAUGGUUGGCUGGGAAAAUUGAGAGAUUAACUUUAUGUCUUGAGUACCUACUGGAUGCCAGACAGUCCAUUAGUAGGUUGUUAUGAACAUUAUCUCACUUAAUGCAAUCCUGUAAUCUCUGCAAUUAUAUUUUUAAUGGACUUCAGUGCACAAAACUGAACUAAUCUUUUUAAUACUUUAUUCAUACUAUUCUAUUGGUCCAUGCUUGGGUCUUAAUUAUUUUUCUCAGUCAUUUAUUUUAGUGAUGCGAUGAGUACCUUGGAACCUACAUCUAACCCAAGAACUAGAACACUAAUGGUAAUUCACCUCUAUUCAGGUGCUCCUUCCCUACGCUGUUGCAAAUGAAAAUAAUGUACCAGCCCUCUCCUGUAGUUAAUUUUCAUAAGAGGAUAUUAAGAAUUCCUGGCUUAGACUGUCCUGUCCAUAAACCCUCAGCAAAAUAAAUAAGUUUAUCUGCUUGAUUAAGAAAACUCCUUCCCUA
rnacentral:lncRNA from 1 species